rnacentral:lncRNA from 1 species
GCUUAUUUUAUCCAGGAGUUCUAGGUAAGACCACUUUUUCAAAUAUCCUCUGAACGUUGACUUAGGUGCACACACCUGUGCUUCCAUUGGCAACAAAAGCUUUGAAUGCACAGGACUUCCACGGCAUGAAAUGCAUUUACAUACAUUACAUAAGAGAGAAGCAAUGAGCAAGUCUGUUGCUGGGAGAGGCUCACAUCCUUCUCACCAAAUCAAUCUGUAACUUUCAAAUAGCUCUGCUGUAUUUCCUAGCAACAGGAGUAAACACUGUACUACAUCCAGUGCCCAAGAUUUGUAACCACGUUAAUCUCACUGGACAAAGAUGGGAGAUUGAAACAGGAGCCCCUGCGAUGGGGGAACAGAGCCAGGGAGCAGGGGUUGGACAGAACCCAGGUUUGAGAAAACAACCUUGUGAACCUUCUAUUGGAGCAGCAAUAAAGAUCUGAGCUAAGUGUCGAGGGAGGCUGAGGAGGUGGUCACUAAGUCUGUCUUAGGCAUCCCAGGGUCUCCUCAGAGUCCAAGCCUGAAGUCCACUGCAGGGGUCACCAGCCACCUGUGGCCACAUUGGAAUGUGGCCAUUCUGAAUUGAGGAGUUAAGCCUAAAGCUGCAGAUGAAAAUUUUGCCACCAUGAAGAAAAGAAGAAAUCAGAAUUGGAUUCUUUCUGAACUUUUCCUUUACAGUAGCCAGUAUAUGCCCUUUCCUACUUGAGCAAGUAUAAACUGGGUUUCUGUGAUUUGCAACCAAGUGUCCUGACAAACACAAGGAUGAAAGACAACUGUGUCUCAAUAAAGGAAAAAUAGUUUAUUUUUAUGAGUGGUGGAUUUAAAAAACCUACAUUACUGUGACAAGAGUACCUUAAAACAUUUAAGUCUACAAAAGGCACUUAGGGACUUUAUAGCAAACUCUACACUUAUAAUGAAAAGCCAGACCAGAUCAUUUUAAAAAAACGUUACUGCACGAGAUAAUGGCACAUCCACUCGUUCAAUUAACAUUUAUUGAGUGUCUUCAGGGGUUUUAGACUUGUGCAAUAAAAAUGAUAAAAACGUAUUCUUUGGUUUGAGCUGGUCCAUCCAAGGUCGUUCCAUAAAGAGCAGCUGUGUAUGCUGUUCAGACUAAUUGUGUGAAGCUGGAGAGGCCAGGUGUUUCUGUCUGGCCCAGCAGCUGCACUUUGCGGUAAGGGCACCACCUGAAUUUCAGUCUGGCCAUAAAAUGAGGCUGAAGAAACAGCACCUUGCAUGAGCUUUUAGGUGAAAGGCAGAACAG